GGGACCAAUUCGUAUGCUCUCAACACCGCUGCCUUGACAUGGUCAUAGUUUCGGCCCUCUGAUUUGGAAAGUGAGGCAUAAGCUUCCUGUGCCUUGCCAAUCAGAACACACUGAAGAAGGAGGGUGCGAUCAUCAUCAGACCAACCCCUGGUCUCUGCCACUCUCUCAAAUAAGGAAAGAAAAGAUCUGGAUCCCUCUCUGUGAAGCUUGGAACCAAACCCAAAUUAGUUAGUACAUCAAAAGCACACUUCUCUGGAACAGAACCAGUAUUUAACAGCUUUCCUUCCUUUAACACUAGAAGUCCCAGCAUUUUUCUGUCUACGUAGAAGACCCACACAGAGGCCAUUUGGCCUGACCACUUUUCCCGAAUACACUAAUCACUCAUUUUGUUAUGGUAAUGAGGCUGUUAGUGGCAGUGUGUGGGGUGAGGGGGUCACACCUUACAGAGAAUGAAGAAUAAAAACACAUUCACUCAGAACAGGUCCAGGUCCAGUUGACAGAGAAAACUACCUUGGAUACAAUGACCUGGAUGAUUGAGAAUCUACACAGACAAAAACACAUUCUAUUCUAAAAUGUGAACCUGUGAAUGUCCCAUGUGACCAUAACGACUCAUCGACUGCAACCAGACAAUUGUUUGAUGGAUAAAUACCUCAGUGCACAUGGACUAUCGCUUCAGUUCCCUCAAGAAUUUUGUGGUGAAAGAAGCUCCUCUCCAAGGAAAGAAGAUGCAGAGAAUCAACAUUCAACAGGCAUUGGAAAUGAUCCUGAAUGGAGCAAACCCUUGCGACUCGGAUGGAGAAGACAUCAACCUUCAGAUGGAUUCAGGCUCCGAGCUGUCUCAGUCGUCUUCAGAUGAGGAGACUGCUCCCCAACCAAAAAAGAGAGCUCGGCUGGGGACUGAUGUGACAGAGACUGCGAAAGACGGCACAGUAUGGCAUGAAGAACAGGUGGGAGCGGGUCCACAUUUCACCCCGCCAUCGCCAUACAACGCAGAUGGAGAGCCAACAGCUAAGGCCAGGAGGUCAAUCACAAGUCGUCUUCAGAGCUUCCUGUGUUUCAUCACUCUGGACAUGCUUGGUAUCAUUCGAGACUGUACAGUUCAACAUGCAAAGCAAACGGAGCAUGUGGAUUGGUUCAUGGGCCUCCCUGAACUAAUGGCAUUUAUUUCCAUCACCAUCAUGCGGGCAAUCUUCAGGGUGCCAUCACUGCGUGACUGCUGGUCGAAAAACCUGGGAAGCCAACAUAUCAUCGAAACCAUGUC
rnacentral:lncRNA from 1 species